rnacentral:rRNA from 1 species
CAUGCAAGUCGAACGCGUCUUGGGGGCAACUCCAAGAUGAGUGGCGAACGGGUGAGUAACACGUGGGUAAUCUCCCCCCGAGUGAGGGAUAAGCCCCCGAAAGGGGGUCUAAUACCGCAUAACACCCUGGGGCAUAAGCUUCCAGGGUCGAAGCCGCAAGGCGCUUGGGGAUGAGCCUGCGUCCUAUUAGCUAGUUGGUAGGGUAACGGCCUACCAAGGUAAUGAUGGGUAGCCGGCCUGAGAGGGUGUACGGCCACACUGGGACUGGGACACGACCCAGACUCCUACGGGAGGCAGCAGUGAGGAAUUUUGCGCAAUGGGCGAAAGCCUGACGCAGCGACGCCGCGUGGAGGAUGAAGGCCUUCGGGUUGUAAACUCCUGUCAGAGGAGAAGAAAUCCCGAGUAAUCGGGU